rnacentral:rRNA from 1 species
GAUGAAAGCUGUCGGCGUGCCUAAUACAGGCAAGUCGAGCGACGAGGGGAAGGGUGAGUAACACGUGGAUAACCUCCUAUAAGACUGGGAUAACUUCGGGAAACCUGUGCUAACACGGCUAAUUAUAGAUGGAUCCGAGCUGCCUUAGCUAGUUGUUAAGGUAACGGCUUACCAAGGAAACGAUGCAUAGACGACCUGAGAGGAUGAUCGUCCACACUGGAAGUUAGACACGGUCCAGAGUCCUACGUGAGGCAGCAGUAGGGAAUCUUCCGCCAUGGGCGAAAGCCUGACGGUGCAAUGCCGCGUGAGUGAUGAAGCUCUCCGGAUCGUAGAACUCUGUUAUGAGGGAAGCGGUACCUAAUCAGAAAGCCACGGCUAACUACGUGCCAGCAGCCGCGGUAAUUC